rnacentral:rRNA from 1 species
UACGUAGGGGGCUAGCGUUGUCCGGAAUCAUUGGGCGUAAAGAGCGUGUAGGCGGCCCGGUAAGUCCGCUGUGAAAGUCGGGGGCUCAACCCUCGGAUGCCGGUGGAUACUGUCGGGCUCGAGUACGGAAGAGGCGAGUGGAAUUCCUGGUGUAGCGGUGAAAUGCGCAGAUAUCAGGAGGAACACCUAUUGCGAAGGCAGCUCGCUGGGACGUGACUGACGCUGAGACGCGAAAGCGUGGGGAGCAAACAGG